rnacentral:rRNA from 1 species
UAGGGAAUCUUCCGCAAUGGGCGAAAGCCUGACGGAGCAACGCCGCGUGAGUGAUGAAGGUCUUCGGAUCGUAAAACUCUGUUAUUAGGGAAGAACAAAUGUGUAAGUAACUAUGCACGUCUUGACGGUACCUAAUCAGAAAGCCACGGCUAACUACGUGCCAGCAGCCGCGGUAAUACGUAGGUGGCAAGCGUUAUCCGGAAUUAUUGGGCGUAAAGCGCGCGUAGGCGGUUUUUUAAGUCUGAUGUGUAAGCCCACGGCUCAACCGUGGAGAGUCAUUGGAAACUGGAAAACUUGAGUGCAGAAGAGGAAAGUGGAAUUCCAUGUGUAGCGGUGAAAUGCGCAGAGAUAUGGAGGAACACCAGUGGCGAAGGCGACUUUCUGGUCUGUAACUGACGCUGAUGUGCGAAAGCGUGGGGAUCAAACAGG